rnacentral:rRNA from 1 species
AUUGAACGCUGGCGGCAUGCCUUACACAUGCAAGUCGAACGGCAGCACGGGUGCUUGCACCUGGUGGCGAGUGGCGAACGGGUGAGUAAUACAUCGGAACAUGUCCUGUAGUGGGGGAUAGCCCGGCGAAAGCCGGAUUAAUACCGCAUACGAUCUACGGAUGAAAGCGGGGGACCUUCGGGCCUCGCGCUAUAGGGUUGGCCGAUAGCUGAUUAGCUAGUUGGUGGGGUAAAGGCCUACCAAGGCGACGAUCAGUAGCUGGUCUGAGAGGACGACCAGCCACACUGGGACUGAGACACGGCCCAGACUCCUACGGGAGGCAGCAGUGGGGAAUUUUGGACAAUGGGCGAAAGCCUGAUCCAGCAAUGCCGCGUGUGUGAAGAAGGCCUUCGGGUUGCAAAGCACUUUUGUCCGGAAAGAAAUCCUUGGCUCUAAUACAGUCGGGGGAUGACGGUACCGGAAGAAUAAGCACCGGCUAACUACGUG